CUGGUCAGCGGAACCCACUUUGUCCUGAGCCUUCUUGUGACCAGCAGGACACAGCACGUGGGGCUCAUCUCCUCACUGGGAGCAUUGGAGAGUGGUCUGCCAUUCCCCUCCCAUGUUUGUGGAAAGGCCACCAGGACCUGGUCCAAAUCUUAUUGGAUCCAAUCAAAGGCCACAUCGACUGUGCUAAAGCAGUGUGACACAGUGGGGAAGAGCUAAUGUCUGAGAAGUUUUGUCUACAUGGCAGCAAGCGUGUCAGGAAACAGGCAGAUGGCAGAUGCGGAAUAUUCUGUGGAUGAUGUCCUCAUCGAUGUCUGCGGAGACGAACUCCACCUGGAUGGGUCCGUAGCACCCAGAGGUCUUCUCAGGCCAGUACUGCAUACAGAGCUGGGACAAAGAGAGAGGUCACAGAAAAAGGCCAAGGACAAGGGGGGUCGUCAGUCGCAAGGAUCACUGAGCUUUCCCUAUUGCUGGCAGGACACCUCGGCUGGAAAGACAGUGUAUUAUGUAGGAAAUCAGACUCAGCUUCCCCUUUGGUGUUGAAAUGCCAAGCCGCUGAGUACAGAAACACUGGGCCUAAACAUUUUGCCAUGUGGAUUUCAAACCAUGUGUUAGACUUGCAGGACCUCAGUUUCCUAAUCUGUAAAAUAGGGAGAAUAAUACCCACCUUGAAGCCCUGCUGUCAGAAUUAGAUAGAAUGCUCAGGGAAGAGAAAAUACAAUCUAGUUUUUUUUUUUUUUUCACCACACGGA